GAUGAACGCUGGCGGCGUGCCUAAUACAUGCAAGUCGAGCGAAUGGAUUAAGAGCUUGCUCUUAUGAAGUUAGCGGCGGACGGGUGAGUAACACGUGGGUAACCUGCCCAUAAGACUGGGAUAACUCCGGGAAACCGGGGCUAAUACCGGAUAACAUUUUGAACCGCAUGGUUCGAAAUUGAAAGGCGGCUUCGGCUGUCACUUAUUGAUGGACCCGCGUCGCAUUAGCUGGUUGGUGAGGUACCGGCUCACCAAGGCAACGAUGCGUAGCCGACCUGAGAGGGUGAUCGGCCACACUGGGACUGAGACACGGCCCAGACUCCUACGGGAGGCAGCAGUAGGGAAUCUUCCGCAAUGGACGAAAGUCUGACGGAGCAACGCCGCGUGAGUGAUGAAGGCUUUCGGGUCGUAAAACCCUGUUGUUAGGGAAGAACAAGUGCUAGUUGAAUAAGCUGGCACCUUGACGGUACCUAACCAGAAAGCCACGGCUAACUACGUGCCAGCCGCCGCGGUAA
rnacentral:rRNA from 1 species